rnacentral:rRNA from 1 species
UACGAAGGGGGCUAGCGUUGUUCGGAAUUACUGGGCGUAAAGCGUGCGCAGGCGGCCAUCCAAGUCAGUGGUGAAAGCCCGGAGCUCAACUCCGGAAUUGCCAUUGAAACUGUUUGGCUCGAGUACGAGAGAGGUGAGUGGAAUUCCCAGUGUAGAGGUGAAAUGCGCAGAUAUCAGGAAGAACACCAAUGGCGAAAGCAGCUCUCUGGGACGGCACUGACGCUGAGACGCGAAAGCGUGGGGAGCGAACAGG